rnacentral:misc_RNA from 1 species
AAAUGGAGUAUGAAACUACAGGCAACGGUGGAGUUACGGUUAAGAUCAAGAGUCCACCAGCUGCAUUCUGGAGUGCAAUUCGAAACUCCACAGUAAUGUUUCCAAUUGCCAUUCCUGACCUAUAUAUAUCCAUCAUACCAAAUCCCAAAAACUUAAAGGAACGCCAAGUCAAGUAUGGCCCACGUUCUCCGAAUAUCAAAUCGUCG